rnacentral:lncRNA from 1 species
ACCUAGGGUUUUCACUGCUAUUUGAAGGCCGAUCUUCUUCCGGUAGCGAAGAAGGAGGGUAAUUUUGGUUUAAAAAUUGUGCAUCUGGUUUGUGUAUAUCGAUUUUGGUUUUACCUUUGAAUAUUUGGUUUUGUGUGUGGCUAAUUGAUUUGUUACAUUCUGGUUGCUGAUUCUGUUCUUCAUUGAUUUUGUUCUUCCUUGUUGAUACAUCAUGGCUGCUAACACCAAUACUAG